rnacentral:rRNA from 1 species
CCUACGGGGGGCAGCGGUGGGGAAUAUUGGACAAUGGGGGGAACCCUGAUCCAGCCAUGCCGCGUGUGUGAAGAAGGCCCUCGGGUUGUAAAGCACUUUCAGUGAGGAAGAACGCCUGGUGGUUAAUACCCAUCAGGAAAGACAUCACUCACAGAAGAAGCACCGGCUAACUCCGUGCCAGCAGCCGCGGUAAUACGGAGGGUGCGAGCGUUAAUCGGAAUUACUGGGCGUAAAGCGCGCGUAGGUGGCUUGAUAAGCCGGUUGUGAAAGCCCCGGGCUCAACCUGGGAACGGCAUCCGGAACUGUCAAGCUAGAGUGCAGGAGAGGAAGGUAGAAUUCCCGGUGUAGCGGUGAAAUGCGUAGAGAUCGGGAGGAAUACCAGUGGCGAAGGCGGCCUUCUGGACUGACACUGACACUGAGGUGCGAAAGCGUGGGUAGCAAACAGGAUUAGAUACCCUGGUAGUC